ACUUGAGGUAACAAGGUUAAGGAAUGGGGGGAAGAAACCCUCGCCCUCCUCCCUCCGAGGGAAAGCAAUGCCAACGGUGCCCCAGGCGCCCUUUACCGGGGAGGCGUCGCCGUUCUUGCAGAGCGGUCCCCGGAAGAUGCCUUUGAUGCCGCGGUAGUGCCCGUUGCUGAGGUGCCUGGAGCUGAUCACCAGGUAGCACGCCAUGCGGGUCCCGGGUCUUUGCGGGGAGAGCGGCAGCGGCUGCUCCUUAAGAGCCCUUGGAGGCAGGCAGCGCUCGGAGGGUCUCGCCCCCUUCACUGCUCGCCCGCGGCUGCUGCUGCUGUUGCGGUUGCUGCCUUCUUCAUCCGGCGCCCCGGCUGCAAGCAGAGGAGAGCGGCCUCGAGGAGAGGAGCAGCCCGAACCCCCGGCGGGCAAACGCGGGGGCAGUCCACAUGCUGCACCGCGGAGGGGCUCUGAAGCGCCUUCGCCACGGAAGAGGCGCCAAGAGAGUCAGAAGGGAGGAAACCUUCACUAG
rnacentral:lncRNA from 11 species